rnacentral:lncRNA from 1 species
CUAUAAGCUAGAAAUGUAGAGUUGGCCAAAGAGAGGUUAAAAUGGAUGAAUAAGGGUGCCUCGAAACCAACCACAGCUUAAAGAUCAGCUUACAGCUGAAGUGAAGAUCAACUUACAGCUUACAGCUAAAGACGAUGAAAAGUGUGAGGAUAAAAUAAGGUCACCAGCCCUCUCUCUGUCUGCGACCGUUCUGACAGUUCAUGCCCCACUCUUGCCAUCUCAGGUUUAGUAACAUCACAGAUUCUAGCUGUUCAUGUGGACAAUAUGGAUCAAGUUCACAUCUCCCAAAACACCUGAAGGAAUGCUGUCCUUGGACGCCUUCCUAGUGGCAUUCUAUGUUAUGUGGAUAAUAUUACCAACUCCAUCUUCAAAGAACAGCAUCUGA